rnacentral:rRNA from 1 species
CCUACGGGAGGCUGCAGUGGGGAAUAUUGCACAAUGGGGGAAACCCUGAUGCAGCGACGCCGCGUGAAGGAAGAAGUAUUUCGGUAUGUAAACUUCUAUCAGCAGGGAAGAAAAUGACGGUACCUGACUAAGAAGCCCCGGCUAACUACGUGCCAGCAGCCGCGGUAAUACGUAGGGGGCAAGCGUUAUCCGGAUUUACUGGGUGUAAAGGGAGCGUAGGCGGUUUAGCAAGGCAGAAGUGAAAGCCCGGGGCUCAACUCCGGGACUGCUUUUGAAACUGUUGAACUAGAGUGCAGGAGAGGUGAGUGGAAUUCCUAGUGUAGGAGUGAAAUGCGUAGAUAUUAGGAGGAACACCAGUGGCGAAGGCGACUAACUGGAAUAUAAAUGACGCUGAGGAUCGAAAGCGUGGGGAGCAAACAGGAUUAGAUACCCUGGUAGUC